UACGGGGGGGGCAAGCGUUGUUCGGAAUUACUGGGCGUAAAGCGUGCGCAGGCGGUCUUUUAAGUCAGAUGUGAAAUCCCCGGGCUUAACCUGGGAACUGCGUUUGAAACUGAAAGGCUAGAGUGUGGCAGAGGGGGGUGGAAUUCCACGUGUAGCAGUGAAAUGCGUAGAGAUGUGGAGGAACACCGAUGGCGAAGGCAGCCCCCUGGGCUAACACUGACGCUCAUGCACGAAAGCGUGGGGAGCAAACAGG
rnacentral:rRNA from 1 species